GACGAACGCUGGCGGCGUGCUUAACACAUGCAAGUCGAACGGAAAGGCCCUGCUUUUGUGGGGUGCUCGAGUGGCGAACGGGUGAGUAACACGUGAGUAACCUGCCCUUGACUUUGGGAUAACUUCAGGAAACUGGGGCUAAUACCGGAUAGGAGCUCCUGCUGCAUGGUGGGGGUUGGAAAGUUUCGGCGGUUGGGGAUGGACUCGCGGCUUAUCAGCUUGUUGGUGGGGUAGUGGCUUACCAAGGCUUUGACGGGUAGCCGGCCUGAGAGGGUGACCGGCCACAUUGGUACUGAGAUAGGGCCCAGACUGCUACGGGAGGCAGCAGUGGGAAAUAUUGCACAAUGGGAGGAAGCCUGAUGAAGCAACGCUGCGGGCGGGAUGACGGCCUUCGGGUUGAAAACCGCUUUCGCCUGUGACGAAGCGUGAGUGACGGUAAUGGGUAAAGAAGCACCGGCUAACUACGUG
rnacentral:rRNA from 1 species